CAAUAGCGUAUAUUAAAGUUGUUGCAGUUAAAAAGCUCGUAGUUGGAUUUCGGGGCAGCCUGGCUGGUCAGCCGCAAGGCGAGUACUGGUCAGCCGCCCUUCCUCUCGAAAGCCCCGACUGCUCUUCGUUGCAGUGGUCGGGUAGUUCGGGACGUUUACUUUGAAAAAAUUAGAGUGUUCAAGGCAGGCCUACGCCUGAAUACAUUAGCAUGGAAUAAUGGAAGAGGACCUCGGUCCUAUUUUGUUGGUUUCCAGGGCCGAAGUAAUGAUUAAGAGGGACAGUUGGGGGCAUUCGUAUUUAAUUGUCAGAGGUGAAAUUCUCGGAUUUAUGAAAGACGAACAACUGCGAAAGCAUUUGCCAAGGAUGUUUUCAUUAA
rnacentral:rRNA from 1 species